UGGGGAAUAUUGCACAAUGGGCGAAAGCCUGAUGCAGCAACGCCGCGUGAGUGAUGAAGGCCUUCGGGUUGUAAAGCUCUGUCUUUUGGGACGAUAAUGACGGUACCAAAGGAGGGAGCCACGGCUAACUACGUGCCAGCAGCCGCGGUAAUACGUAGGUGGCAAGCGUUGUCCGGAUUUACUGGGCGUAAAGGAUGCGUAGGUGGAUAUUUAAGUGGGAUGUGAAAUACCCGAGCUCAACUUGGGUGCUGCAUUCCAAACUGGAUAUCUAGAGUGCAGGAGAGGUAAGUGGAAUUCCUAGUGUAGCGGUGAAAUGCGUAGAGAUUAGGAAGAACACCAGUGGCGAAGGCGACUUACUGGACUGUAACUGACACUGAGGCAUGAAAGCGUGGGGAGCAAACAGGAUUAGAUACCCUGGUAGUCCACGCCGUAAACGAUGGGUACUAGGUGUAGGAGGGUCCAACCUUCUGUGCCGCCGUUAACACAAUAA
rnacentral:rRNA from 1 species